rnacentral:lncRNA from 1 species
GGGCAGGUGUAGCCUCUGUGCCUCGUUGUCCCCUGGCGCUACCCGGACAUCUCUCAGGGUGCCGGCACCAUGAAGAUCUGGACUUCGGAGCACGUCUUUGACCACCCGUGGGAAACUGUUACAACAGCUGCAAUGCAGAAAUACCCAAACCCUAUGAACCCAAGUGUGGUUGGAGUUGAUGUGUUGGACAGACAUAUAGAUCCCUCUGGAAAGUUGCACAGCCACAGACUUCUCAGCACAGAGUGGGGACUGCCUUCCAUUGUGAACUUAUUGGUGCAGCAAGAACGAAAACAUAUGUGCAAGAACAUUCUGUAGUUGAUCCUGUAGAGAAAACAAUGGAACUUAAAUCUACUAAUAUUUCAUUUACAAACAUGGUUUCAGUAGAUGAGAGACUUAUAUACAAACCACAUCCUCAGGAUCCAGAAAAAACUGUUUUGACACAAGAAGCCAUAAUUACCGUGAAAGGAGUUAGCCUCAGCAGUUACCUUGAAGGACUGAUGGCAAGUACGAUAUCCUCAAAUGCUAGUAAAGGCCGAGAAGCAAUGGAAUGGGUAAUACAUAAAUUAAAUGCUGAGAUUGAAGAACUGACAGCCUCAGCAAGAGGAACCAUAAGGACUCCAAUGGCAGCAGCAGCGUUUGCAGAGAAGUGAUCGUGACAGUUGGUAGACAACAUCGGGUACUCCAGGUCUCUCCAAACUGACUAUAUAUUUAUUUGUUAUUUUAAAAAUACAACUAUAUUUUGGGUAGUUUUUUUUUUUUUUUUUUUGAUAAGUUGGUGUAAGGCUAUGUGACUUGAUCAAAACAGAUGCAGGGCCUCUAAAUAAAAGGGAUCAUCUGAAAUUAAUGUUGUUUGAAAUUACUAUCUGAUUUUGAGGGUUCCAGUAUUUCUGUGAAAAUUCAACAAGAACUCCUUGGAAACUGGUAUUGAUAUUCAGUCUCCUUAAGGUAGAUUUUUCAAGCUUUUCAUACAUUGGAACUCCACCUGACUUUGGACCAACCCCAGAACAGAGCAGAGCCACCUCCUAUAGACGCCCAUUGCCCUGCUGCUGUACACUUCAGCAGCUUGCACAAGGGAGCUCACUUAAAAGGAGAAAUUGUGUAGUUUUAAAAUAUAUUUUGUGUAAAAUACCUUACUAUGCUAUAAACCACCAUUAAAAACCAGUGUUUUGAUUUGGUACUUAAAUAUUUUUGGAGUGAAAAUUAUCACUAAAGUAACAUGACUCCAACAAAAGUAUGGUUUCAUUAUAAAAGAGUACUGUAUUGAUUUGCCCAAGUUUUGUAACUUAGUAAAGGUAUUAACUUCCUUGGAUUUGUACUUUGUGAUUUAGUAUGCUGUAUCGUGGGCUGGUUAUGUUAACUGAAAAAAAUAAAGUCAUUACCUGAGUUUUGCAGUGCUCUAACUUAAACAGAAGAACAGCUGUUCACAUCUUUUAGCAUUUUACAUUUGCCUAACUUAAAAAUUGCCAUGUGUCAAAAUCAUGGUUUUGUAAUUGCUAAGGCAUGAUAUGUCAGGUUAUUUGAAUAUAAUUACUUUUUGAAGUAAUUGUGACCACAAAACAUCUUUUUUACAUGAAGGAGCUGUGUAUCAUUUGAAAUUACUCAAAUGAUGUCUUGCUCUGAGGCAUAAAUCCCAGGUACUUAGUGUUUUUAAUAAUAUGGUGCCACUGCAGGAUUUGGGGGCGGUGGGGAAGAACAAGCAUAAUGGUAGGGGGAGGCUUGGCCUGAAACUAACCACUGAGUGAAUUGCACUGCAGGUUUUACUUAACGGGAAUUCCUUAUUUGGGAUGUCAAGAGGGCAGCUGCAAACUGAAAAACAAUCCAGUAAAUGUACUUUGUUUUAUGUAUUGUAGCAGGCAAUUAACUACUAAAUAAUAGCUUUGACAUUUGCAAUUGUUGCAUAGAGACUAUUUUUGCUAGAAGAUGAUUAGCUCUUGCCUUUAUUUUACAGUGCUUAGUGUGAUAAACUUCUAGUCAUGUUUCCUAUCCAAGAGACCAGUUAAUAUAUGUACAUAAACCACAGAAAUAGUAUAACACACUAUUUUUAAAUUAUCGUUUUCCUACUUAAAUUUUGUUUAGCUUAAGACUUCUUAGGACAUUUGUAAAAGCAGGUUAAAUUUAAUAAGGUUUCUGAUUUUUUUUUGUAACCGGAGAUAGUUUUUACAAGUGAAAUAACAUUUCAGCUAAAUAAAACAUCGCUAAAUAAUUGAUAUUUGAUGAAAAUCUGCUUUGUAUAAUUUCUGUAAAUUAUCCUUGUUCUGAAAAAGGUGUAAUGCCCUAAUAUUUUUAAAUCCUUAUCCUUUGAUUUUUUAAAAACUGACCUAUUGAUAAAACUAUAAAUUUUCAUUUUCCAGUGCAGUUAGUUACCUUUUUAAACAUAAAUGCACAACAAGCAAAUGAAUUUAAGAGAACUAAACUGGAAUAAGUGUUCAUAAAUGAAACCCUUGGACUAUUUAAUAAAGUUGAAAUGUGAAUUAAGGAAAACUUUUGUUAAUAAAAACUUUCUUUUA